rnacentral:lncRNA from 1 species
UUACAAUGCAGCAGAAUAAAUCCUGUGACUGAGGCUCCUUCACAUUUGAUCUCUGUGCAAUUUGAUAAGAGGAGGGAAUGGGCCGUCAAUUAUGAAGAGACUGAAAACCUGAAAAUACUGAGUAUGGUCUUAGUUCCCUCUCCAAAGGGAGCUCAGGAAAAAUGCCAAGCCAUACAAGCCACUGAUUACUCAUCUAGCUAUUGUUUCUACCUCACCCUGGCCCAGGAAGACAGAUCUACUGAGGAAAGACAAGAAUUUUGAAGUUCAGCUAAGGUAAGC